UCGAAGAGAAGCUCUUAUUUUCUCUUUUCCUUUCUCUCUCCUCUUCUCUCCUCUUCUCUCCUCUGCUUCUUUCGUUCUUCUUCAUCUCGAGUUUCUCUGAGAAUUUGAGUAAGAAUUGGUUAAUGAAAUCUUUUGUUGAUGCUAAUAGAUGUCGUAGAAGAUAGUGCGGUCGCUGGUUUUGAAGCAGGACAGUUAGGGUUGAAUCUGAGAAGAUCGAUUUAAGGUUUCGUCGGAUUUUGAUGUUCUUAUGGAAUUGAGAUGUAAAUCGAGUUGUUGUUAGAUGAAGAAUAAAAGGGUUGUAGUUGAAUCGGUGUUCUGAGGCUUAUUCGAUAAAGUGUUGAGGAAUUAGGGCUUCUCAAGAUGAAUUGGUAAUUCGAUUAGAAAUGAAUAAUAAGAAUUAGGCAGUGGCUUUAUCGAUUGUUGAACAUGGUGAAGUUAAUUGGAUGUUCACAUAGCCGUUCAUGAGAAAUUGAAGAGUUAGGGUUUCAAGGGAAGAAUUCAGAAGAAUAAUUAGAAGAUGGAAUUGAGAGUUUAAAUGGAAGAUUUAAGUUGGGUUUGUUAGGAAGUAGGGUUUCCAGUGUUGGUAUUCCUCAGAUUGGUUAGAGGAAGAGGGUUCUGAGAAGAAUGGUAGUUGCAGUUGAAGUUAGACUGACAACAGGUAAAGCUGAACUCGUAAUGAGUUUCAGUAAUAAAAAUUAAGUUAUAGCUUGGUUUAAUUGCAAAGUUUAUAUGAGUUUGAUGAUUUUUAAUAAGUCAUAAGUUAGAUCUGAUUUUGAUUAAAUUGUAUUGAUAUGAAAUAUAGAGGACGGAUGUUAUUUGAGUUGAGAUGAUGUUGAUAUGGAAGAUGCUGGUAGUGAUAUUAUAUUUGCAAUUGUGGUUUAUGUUGUGUGAAUUAUAGGGGAAAAAUGACAAUUUUACCAUGGGAUGGUGGAGUUGGUGUUUAGUGUAGUGAUGGUUUGUUCAAUACAGUGCUUUGGAGGGAGAAAUCAUGGUGUUGAAAGAAUGAAGUUGUGUUCGAGUCUGUAUGAAUUGAUGAAGGUGUUGAAUUAGUGAAUUUUAUAUUGAAUAAGAUGCUGUAAUGUUGGCGAUUUUAGAAAUAUAGAUAAUGACUCAGUAACGGCUCUGCAGUGUUAUGUUGUGCUUGAAUUGAAUCUUAGAUGAAUGUAUAAAAGGUGGCAAAAGGAAUGGAGAUUGUAGAUACUGCUAAUGUUGAACUGUGCACACUAGUGGAAGGCGAGGCGUUGUAACUGAGGUUGAUGAUGAAACUGGAAUCAAGGUUGUGAUUUGAAUUGAGUGGUUUCAGUUCUUAUAAGUUGGAUUUACAUUGAGAAUGGUGUGUACGGAGAAGGAUUGGGGUUGUGCUUGCUGUGUAUGAUGAUGUUGGCUACAUGAAGCUCUGUUGUUUUGUGGUGAACUGCAAAAGGUAAUGGGUGUGCAGUGUUAUUUGAAUGUUGAUUGUGAAGGUGGACUUUAAUAAGUACAGUGAUCUUUCAGCUGAGGGUGAAUUCAGUGUGUUUGAGUGGAGAUGAUCUGAGUGUUGCUUGUUACUACUUUUGGAAGUUAGUCUAUUAACAACGAUCGAUUCAAAGGAUGAACCAGUGGAUCGUGGAUCUCGAGGUAGGUGUGGCUUGUCAUAAAAAGAGGUGGGAAUACAUUUGACUCUGUUGUAACCAUUAUUAUUGCUUUUGCAAAAGUUUAUGCUUAACAAACCCAUGCAUUGUCUGUCCGAGAAUUCCAUGCUUUGUUUAAAUUGUAUUAUGAUAAUUCUGUUGAUUCUGUGAAUCUUUCAACGAUUUGGAAAGGACUUGUAAUGUUUUGUUUGUCA